rnacentral:rRNA from 1 species
UGCGGAAUAACUCAGGGAAACUUGUGCUAAUACCGAAUGUGCCCUUCGGGGGAAAGAUUUAUCGCCUUUAGAGCGGCCCGCGUCUGAUUAGCUAGUUGGUGAGGUAAAGGCUCACCAAGGCGACGAUCAGUAGCUGGUCUGAGAGGAUGAUCAGCCACAUUGGGACUGAGACACGGCCCAAACUCCUACGGGAGGCAGCAGUGGGGAAUCUUGCGCAAUGGGCGAAAGCCUGACGCAGCCAUGCCGCGUGAAUGAUGAAGGUCUUAGGAUUGUAAAAUUCUUUCACCGGGGACGAUAAUGACGGUACCCGGGGAAGAAGCCCCGGCUAACUUCGUGCCAGCAGCCGCGGUAAUACGAAGGGGGCUAGCGUUGCUCGGAAUUACUGGGCGUAAAGGGAGCGUAGGCGGACAUUUAAGUCAGGGGUGAAAUCCCGGGGCUCAACCUCGGAAUUGCCUUUGAUACUGGGUGUCUUGAGUAUGAGAGAGGUGUGUGGAACUCCGAGUGUAGAGGUGAAAUUCGUAGAUAUUCGGAAGAACACCAGUGGCGAAGGCGACACACUGGCUCAUUACUGACGCUGAGGCUCGAAAGCGUGGGGAGCAAACAGGAUUAGAUACCCUGGUAGUCCACGCCGUAAACGAUGAUUGCUAGUUGUCGGGAUGCAUGCAUU